rnacentral:rRNA from 1 species
GAUCCUGGCUCAGGACGAACGCUGGCGGCGCGCCUAACACAUGCAAGUCGAACGGAGCUUAGAGAGCUUGCUUUUUAAGCUUAGUGGCGAACGGGUGAGUAACGCGUGAGUAACCUGCCCUAGAGUGGGGGACAACAGUUGGAAACGACUGCUAAUACCGCAUAAGCCCACGGUACCGCAUGGUACUGGGGGAAAAGGAUUUAUUCGCUUUAGGAUGGACUCGCGUCCAAUUAGCUAGUUGGUGAGGUAACGGCCC